UUGAGAGAGAGAAAUGAGCUGAGUCUGUAUGAUUGGUUUAACACAGGAAAUGAAGAAGGAUGUACUAAGCAUUAUUUUUUUUGCACUGUUAUUUCUCUAUAUAUUCUCCUCAAGUUCACAUGUCAAAGUCUUCAAAUCCAAAUGUGAUGGUCGUAGUCAUUGAAGGAAGACCUUUGGGGGAUAAUUAGGUUUAAAUGAGGUUACUAAGGAAGAGAAUUAAUAAUAAUGCCUUUAUUUUGAAAAAAAAAAGCAUCCUCCGUCCACCUGCUGCUCUGCCCUCCUUCUUUGCCUACUUCUCGGCUACAUUUCACUCUGUGCCUGUGAGCAAGGGUGACAACAGAACUGGACAGAGAGGCCUCACCAAGAAACCAACCACGCUAGCACCCUGUUCUAGAACUACACCGUACAGAGAUUGAGGUUUAAACCACCCAGUCCAAGGCAUCUCGUUAUAGUAGCCAAACCAAAGAGCAUUUCUCUCCUUCCCGGUCCUCAAGGCACAUUUUCUUAGUGUUUGGGGUUGUGCAGUACUAAUGGGCAAAUUCCUUUCCAGGAGACGAGAGCAGAGUAAUGAUGAACUUGGUGUCAUCCACUGGAAGCUUUGGGUCCAGCAAGACAAAGUCUGGCAGGAAGCCGAGAGCCUUUCUUAGCAGGCAUUAACGAAGACCUGAUUCUUACAGGUAAGUCAACUGACUUGCUUAUAAGUUGGCAAGAACUAGACAUAGAUGCUUAAGACAAGGUCUGACCGUAGAUGUCACGGGCCUCUAGCUCAUUCUCACCGAGGGCAAAGCGGGACCCAUCUGGAUAAGCAAAUGCCACCGAGGUCAGGCACAGCUGACUGCUCUCACCUCCUCGCGAGCCCUUCUCAUGACACAUGUCUCGGUUUUGAGAGCGAGGUAAGGGUUGUGGAACUGGAUUCUUGAAUAAGGUCAGUUAAAAAUGUAGCAGCCACUUUCGCUUUCGUGAUUUAGAAAAUGCCAGCCUGCAGUAGCUAUCAGCAGCCGCAGGCUGAAGGAGAAGGGUUAUAGGAUGUUUUCCCCUGUCAAAAAUCCAAAGGAGGGUAUAAAAUCUAGAGGAAGGUCAAAGGAUUAGUCUCCGUAAGACACAGGCUGUUCAUGAGUUGCAUUUGAAGUUCUGGCUUCUCAGUAAAGGGAUAAUGGCAGAGGAAACUCAAAUCCCUAACUGUAUGCUUUUCACAUGGGUGUGUUGAGCUCAGUGUACAGGGGAUUAGAUCAUAGGAGCGAUCUAAGAAGGGUCCACUGUUUGUAGACAUCAUGAACAACGAAGCCAAACAACAGGUAUUAAACUUUCCUUGACCCUCAAAGUGUUUACUUGGCCAACUACAGUUGGGAUUUGAACUCAGAUCAAACUGAGCUUAGAGCCAAGAGCUCAAAGAGCCGAAGAAUUUCCUAAUUGUGUACCGAGCCCUGGAAUUUAGUACUGUAGCCUCCACAAACAGGAACUGUGUACAGGGCUGGAGCAAGGCCAGCAGCUCAAACGUGCCUGGCAUCACAACUCCUAGGUCAUCUGCUGUAUGUAAGCAGACCAGUCAUAGCAGGCAAACACACUAUGGGAAGCUUUGUUUGGGUGGACAAGUCCGCAAGCAUCCAUGCGGAUGACUCGAAGCACACCUUCCACGUCCCUGAAGGGUGAAACUGGGGAGAAGGAAGUCUACCUCACAAGCCUAUUAAACAUCUCUCAGCAUUUAUCAUGCACACCAGAGCGAAGACUCAGGGGGCAGACAAGACACAGUUGUGUGUCAGGAUGCCCAUGACAGACUCCUACAUGGCCAAUUUUCCUCCAGGCUAGCUGACCUUCAGGCCCUGACUACAGGUCAGAAGGUGAUGCUAGGUGUGUGUCUUCCUGGCUCUGGUAGCUUCCAUAUCUCUUUGGAGCCAAUGCCCCCACGAUUAGGGCUUUUUACUUCUCUCCAUCUCUAGAUGCAGAAUACCUUGGCACUCGCCCCUCUCCCAAAGUUCCUGCGAGGGUCAAAUUCUUACCUCUAUCCCCCCACCACCCUGGUACAUUCUCUUACUUAGCUUAAAAUUUCUCAAGUUUUUCUUACAGACCACAUUUUAUCAGAUUUCACAGGCAUUUCUUUUAGGCUAUAUCUUUUCUCUCCAAACAUCAGGGAGCCACACGGAUUCUGAUAUUCUGCCAUAAUUUCUAACCCCGAACAACUCUGCGACUUAUCCAGGAGCUUUUAAACACUGGUGAGUGGGAAGCUGGGCUGGAUAGGCGUUAUUCAUUCCGCCUCUCAUUCAUUAUUCAUAAGCUACUCCCUGAAUGCCUUCUAGGGCUUGGUAUUUUAAAAUCUCUGGGGGUAUAUACAUCUACACAAAGUCAUUCCAGUUCUGUAGAAAUUCACUCUCAGGGAAGAGGACCAUAAAGCUUUUGGCACCCUGGGUUGUCAGGGUUGCAGUAAGGAGGGGCUUUCAGCAUUGGCUACAUGGUGGAGUCAAUUGGACACUCUAAAUAUAGACCCCCAGCCCAGCUGAGAACAAGGGAAUUACGACCUCUGCACAGGGCCUGAGGACGGCUUGGAUGAUUUUCUUAAACUCAUACUUGCCAGAUUUAAGGGUCCCCUGGAUAGAGGGAAUCUUCGGUAUUUGGGGAUCCUAUUAAGGAGAGGUUCCUUCCCUGAUUAAUAAGGUAUCUAAGGAUCCUGAGGGAAAAUGGUCUCUGAGCCCGAUCUUAACAAGCAACUUUGCCGGUGAAGAUGUGGGAAGCAAAUUCCAAACACUAAGAACUGAGGUGAGCUCGUAGGAUACCAUAGGAUUGCAGGUCAAGUUGAGAGCCCCAAGGCAGGUGGAAUUCACAAGUCUAGUGAACGGGAGCCAUAGAAGAAUCGAUACCUGGGAAGUGAUAUGACCCAUUUAUGUACAUCUGAAGUACUAAGAUAUCACUUAGGGGACAAAUUUUAUUUCCAUCACAGCCUCCCUUUUUACUAAAGCCUUUAAAAUUGCUGGUACUCGCUUGGUUUCAGCACCCGUGAGUGAACCUUGGCCUCCUCCUUGCCUGAGUCCUGGAACAUCUGUUUUCUUGCUUGAGUGAAGAGGGCCCCUUGUUCUUCUCCGCUGAUGGUGGAGAAAUGGCUAGGCUUCACAUGGGCCCAUUGUCAUCGUAUGUGCAGAUGAGCAGGGCCAGACACUGAGAUGUUUUCAUUUUCGAAACCAUCUUGCUGCUUGUGCCAUGUUGUUGUCCUGGGCAGGGGAAACCCAAGGGUCAGAGUUGCUGAUACAAUAGAAUUGUUUUUCCCCACGGGAAGGAGUUUGAACUCUGCAGAAGCUGGGAUGUGUAGACGCAUCUCCCCCUGGCUUUCAGGGUGUGAACCCUUGCAGACACAAACCGCAUCUGGGGCUGCCGUGGGUUGUACUCCUGCUGCCACUACUAGGUGUUUCUCUGAGUUCAGAUACUGGUUUUUCUCUGAAGACACACGUUCAGUUUCAUCACGGUUUCACAGGGAUAAAGGAGACAAGGAGGAAGAAGCAAAAGGAAGGAAAGAACCAACUAAAUGUGAUGUACGGUUUUAACCGUGAAAGGCUAAGUUCAAGAUCUGAGAGGACGUUGCUUAACCGGGUCCUUAUGGGAGGAAACACAGCUCAGCGAGCAGAACAAUGAUUUGAAAGUCCUGGGUUCUAUUUUCAGCCGUGCUGUUGACUGGCCGUGCAUUCAGCCCUAGGAAGGUCAAAAGCAGAGUGGCCUGGCCUUGCUGGCUUUCUCCGUACGCACAGCUCUGGGUGGGAAAACAGAUCAAGCAGCUGCCACUCAGCCUUGAGGAGCUACAGUCUUUGGAGAAGAGAUGUAUAGCCAGGCUUUGUUUUUGUUUUUCGAGCAGAAGUACAGAAUGAACUCUCUGGGCUGGGGAAGUGGGCUGGUAGAGACUGGGAAGAGGAACCUGACAACCUGCUCUCCAACCCAGAGGUGAAGGGAUGGCUUGAGUCAUUCAGAUCAAAGGCGGCUCUUUGGCACAAGCUGGAAUCUCCUGUGUUUGGAAAUGGGAGAGACAAAGAAAGCUGGGCCUUGGCAGACUUCUGUGAACUUAGACAAUAAGAGGUACCCAGAGCGCUGCCUGUGGGGCCUAGGUUGAGGAGCCGAGAGGGAGAGGCCUGUGGAAACCCCAACACUUACAACCCCCUCGAAAGGAGUCUGCGUCUACUAGCACCAGCUGCUUGUCCUUGGGAUAAGCCAGAGGCAGGGCCAUGAACUGCUAAGGUUGCAAGAGAAGCUGAACAUUGAGAUGUUUAUCAUCAGAUCCCCGUUUUCUUUUUAAAUGAAGAUCGUACUUUUAAAGGAAUACUGGACAGACCAAAACAGACGUAUGGUUUGAGCAAUGCUCUUUCCCUGUCUCUUUAAUAUGUCCACAGAUGGGAUUUUAUAAGAGUUUAAUUAUUGUUUUGUGAUAUGCUACUUUUACACAAAAGGGUCUUAGCAGUGUAGAAUACUGGAGUGUUUGAAAACACCAGUUCUUGGGGCUGUGGAGACGACUCCAUUGGUGAAGUGCUUGCUGUCCAAAUUUGAGGAUUUGUGUUUGGAUGCCCAGAACCCACGUGCAAAAAAUAAACAUGGCAGUUUGCUUAGAGCUGCUAUGAUGGUGAUGAAACACCACCGCCUAAAGCACCUUGGGGAAUAAAGGGUUGAUUUGAUUUACAUAUCCUGAAUCAGAAUUCCCUGAGGAACUGGGCAGGACCUGGAGUCAGGGGCUGGUGCAGAGGCCAUGGAGGGGUAUUGCUUCUUGGCUUGCUUCCCCUGGCUUGCUCAGCCUCCUUUCUUUUCGAACCCAGAACCACCAGCCCAGGAUGGCAACCACCUACAGCCGUGCCCUCACCAUCAACCACUAAUGAAGAAAGUGCUUUAGAGGCUUUUGCUUACAGCCUGAUCUUAUGAAGGUCGUCUCUCAGCUGAGGAUCUCCACUCUCAGAGUACCCUAGCUUGGGUCAAGUAUCGGCGAAUCAAUCCCACACCAGUUAUGUUUUAAGGGGUUAUUUAUUUUGGGGGGUAAAACUUACAUACACCAUAAACCGUCAGG